GCUUCCGUAGCUCAGUGGAUUAGAGCGUUCCCCUCCGAAGGGAAAGGCCGGAGGUUCGAGUCCUCCCGGGAGCACCA
rnacentral:tRNA from 1 species